GCCUGGGUGGCGGAAUUGGUAGACGCAAGGGACUUAAAAUCCCUCGGUCCAAGUGGCUGUGCGGGUUCGAUUCCCGCCCCAGGCA
rnacentral:tRNA from 1 species